ACAAUGAAGAGUUUGAUCCUGGCUCAGGAUGAACGCUAGCGGCAGGCCUAACACAUGCAAGUCGAGGGGUAA
rnacentral:rRNA from 1 species